rnacentral:rRNA from 1 species
ACCCCGCUGAACUUAAGCAUAUCAAUAAGCGGAGGAAAAGAAAAUAACAAUGAUUCCCCUAGUAACUGCGAGUGAAGAGGGACAAGCUCAAAUUUUAAAUCUGUUAGGUUUUUACCUGACCGAGUUGUAAUUUGAAGAGGCGUUUUCCGCGUAUUUGGUCAACCCAAGUCCUAUUGAAUGAGGCAUCAUGGAGGGUGAUAAUCCCGUCCGGUUGAUCAUUGCGUUUUACGAUACGCUUUCUAAGAGUCAAGUUGUUUGGGAUUGCAGCUUAAAAUGGGAGGUAAAUUUCUCCUAAGGCUAAAUAACGGCGAGAGACCGAUAGCGAACAAGUACCGUGAGGGAAAGAUGAAAAGUACUUUGAAAAGAGAGUAAAACAGUACGUGAAAUUGUUGAAAGGGAAACGAUUGAAGCCAGUCGUACCAGCGGAUAAUCAACCUUUAGAUGCGAUUUUAUGGAGUGUGAGGAGCUAAUCGCCUUCAUGCCUGUAUAUUCGUAUACUUGGGGUGUACUUAUUCGUGUGGUAAGUUAACAUCAAUUUUGGUUGUCAUAAAAUGAUUGGAGGAAUGUAGCUUCGAUCUCGUAUUGAAGUGUUAUAGCCUUUGGUAGAUGUGAUGAUCGGGAUUGAGGAUUGCAACGGAUACCCUUCGGGGCUACCUGUCUGAUCUCUGAUUGUUGCUCUGGUGCUGAAAGCUUGCUUAUAGUUAUCAAAGUCGAUGGUCAAUAGGUUAGAAUGGGUUAAAUUCGUUAAGGAUGUUGACGUAAUGGCUUUAAACGACCCGUCUUGAAACACGGACCAAGGAGUCUAACAUAUAUGCGAGUGUUAGGGUUAAUUAAACCCUUACGCGUAAUAAAAGUAAUUUUGGUGGGAUCACUUUUGUGCACCAUCGACCGAUCAGGAUAUUUUUUGAUAGAUUUGAGUAAGAGCAUAUCUGCUAGGACCCGAAAGAUGGUGAACUAUGCCUGAAUAGGGUGAAGUCAGAGGAAACUCUGAUGGAGGCUCGUAGCGGUUCUGACGUGCAAAUCGAUCGUCAAAUUUGGGUAUAGGGGCGAAAGACUAAUCGAACCAUCUAGUAGCUGGUUCCUGCCGAAGUUUCCCUCAGGAUAGCAGAAACUCGAUAAUAGUUUUAUGAGGUAAAGCGAAUGAUUAGAGGCCUUAGGGUUGAAACAGCCUUAACCUAUUCUCAAACUUUAAAUAUGUAAGAAGUUUAUCGUUACUUAAUUGAACGUGAACAUUCGAAUAAGAGUUUCUAG